rnacentral:rRNA from 1 species
UACAGGGGGUGCAAACGUUGCUCGGAAUCAUUGGGCGUAAAGCGCACGUAGGCGGUUCGUUAUGUCGGAUGUGAAAGCCCUUGGCUUAACCGAGGAAGUGCAUCCGAAACUGGCGAGCUAGAGUACUAAAGAGGAUCGCGGAAUUCCCGGUGUAGAGGUGAAAUUCGUAGAUAUUGGGAAGAACACCGGUGGCGAAGGCGGCUCUCUGGACCGAGACUGACGCUGAGGCGCGAAAGCGUGGGGAGCAAACAGG